UCGUUAAAAUGUCUGUGACCGUAUG
rnacentral:miRNA from 15 species